rnacentral:rRNA from 1 species
UACAGAGGUCUCAAGCGUUGUUCGGAUUCAUUGGGCGUAAAGGGUGUGUAGGUGGCGCCGUAAGUCGGGUGUGAAAUUUCGGAGCUUAACUCCGAAACUGCAUUCGAUACUGCGGUGCUUGAGGACUGGAGAGGAGACUGGAAUUCAUGGUGUAGCAGUGAAAUGCGUAGAUAUCGGGAGGAACACCAGUGGCGAAGGCGACUUCCUGGCCCUGUU